CGGUUAAGUUAGAAAGGGCGCACGGUGGAUGCCUUGGCACUAGGAGCCGAUGAAGGACGGGACGAACACCGAUAUGCUUCGGGGAGCUGUAAGCAAGCUUUGAUCCGGAGAUUUCCGAAUGGGGAAACCCACUGCUCGUAAUGGAGCAGUAUCCAUAUCUGAAUUCAUAGGAUAUGAGAAGGCAGACCCGGGGAACUGAAACAUCUAAGUACCCGGAGGAAGAGAAAGCAAAUGCGAUUCCCUGAGUAGCGGCGAGCGAAACGGGAACAGCCCAAACCAAGAGGCUUGCCUCUUGGGGUUGUAGGACACUCUGUACUGAGUUGCAAAAGAACGAGGUAGAUGAAGAGGUCUGGAAAGGCCCGCCAUAGGAGGUAACAGCCCUGUAGUCAAAACUUCGUUCUCUCCUGAGUGGAUCCUGAGUACGGCGGAACACGUGAAAUUCCGUCGGAAUCCGGGAGGACCAUCUCCCAAGGCUAAAUACUCCCUAGUGACCGAUAGUGAACCAGUACCGUGAGGGAAAGGUGAAAAGCACCCCGGAAGGGGAGUGAAAGAGAUCCUGAAACCGUGUGCCUACAAGUAGUCAGAGCCCGUUAACGGGUGAUGGCGUGCCUUUUGUAGAAUGAACCGGCGAGUUACGAUCCCGUGCAAGGUUAAGUUUGAAAAGACGGAGCCGCAGCGAAAGCGAGUCUGAAUAGGGCGCAUGAGUACGUGGUCGUAGACCCGAAACCAGGUGAUCUACCCAUGUCCAGGGUGAAGUUCAGGUAACACUGAAUGGAGGCCCGAACCCACGCACGUUGAAAAGUGCGGGGAUGAGGUGUGGGUAGGGGUGAAAUGCCAAUCGAACCUGGAGAUAGCUGGUUCUCUCCGAAAUAGCUUUAGGGCUAGCCUCAAGGUAAGAGUCUUGGAGGUAGAGCACUGAUUGGACUAGGGGCCCCUACCGGGUUACCGAAUUCAGUCAAACUCCGAAUGCCAAAGACUUAUCCUUGGGAGUCAGACUGCGAGUGAUAAGAUCCGUAGUCGAAAGGGAAACAGCCCAGACCGCCAGCUAAGGUCCCAAAGUAUACGUUAAGUGGAAAAGGAUGUGGAGUUGCUUAGACAACCAGGAUGUUGGCUUAGAAGCAGCCACCAUUUAAAGAGUGCGUAAUAGCUCACUGGUCGAGUGACUCUGCGCCGAAAAUGUACCGGGGCUAAACGUAUCACCGAAGCUGCGGACUGUUCUUGCGAACAGUGGUAGGAGAGCGUUCUAAGGGCUGUGAAGCGAGACCGGAAGGACUCGUGGAGCGCUUAGAAGUGAGAAUGCCGGUAUGAGUAGCGAAAGAGGGGUGAGAAUCCCCUCCACCGAAUGCCUAAGGUUUCCUGAGGAAGGCUCGUCCGCUCAGGGUUAGUCGGGACCUAAGCCGAGGCCGAAAGGCGUAGGCGAUGGACAACAGGUUGAUAUUCCUGUACCACCUCCUCACCAUUUGAGCAAUGGGGGGACGCAGGAGGAUAGGGCAAGCGCGGUAUUGGAUAUCCGCGUCCAAGCAGUUAGGCUGGGAAAUAGGCAAAUCCGUUUCCCGUAAGGCUGAGCUGUGAUGGCGAGCGAAAUAUAGUAGCGAAGUUCCUGAUUCCACACUGCCAAGAAAAGCCUCUAGCGAGGUGAGAGGUGCCCGUACCGCAAACCGACACAGGUAGGCGAGGAGAGAAUCCUAAGGUGAUCGAGAGAACUCUCGGUAAGGAACUCGGCAAAAUGACCCCGUAACUUCGGGAGAAGGGGUGCUCUGUUAGGGUGCAAGCCCGAG
rnacentral:rRNA from 1 species